AGUGAACGCUGGCGGUAGGCCUAACACAUGCAAGUCGAACGGCAGCACAGGAGAGCUUGCUCUCUGGGUGGCGAGUGGCGGACGGGUGAGGAAUACAUCGGAAUCUACUCUGUCGUGGGGGAUAACGUAGGGAAACUUACGCUAAUACCGAAUACGACCUACGGGUGAAAGCAUGGGACCUUCGGGCCUUGCGCGAUUGAAUGAGCCGAUGUCGGAUUAGCUAGUUGGCGGGGUAAAGGCCCACCAAGGCGACGAUCCGUAGCUGGUCUGAGAGGAUGAUCAGCCACACUGGAACUGAGACACGGCCCAGACUCCUACGGGAGGCAGCAGUGGGGAAUAUUGGACAAUGGGCGCAAGCCUGAUCCAGCCAUACCGCGUGGGUGAAGAAGGCCUUCGGGUUGUAAAGCCCUUUUGUUGGGAAAGAAAUCCAGCUGGCUAAUACCCGGUUGGGAUGACGGUACCCAAAGAAUAAGCACCGGCUAACUUCGUGCCAGCCGCCGCAGUAA
rnacentral:rRNA from 1 species